rnacentral:rRNA from 1 species
AUUGAACGCUGGCGGCAUGCUUUACACAUGCAAGUCGGACGGCAGCACAGAGAAGCUUGCUUCUUGGGUGGCGAGUGGCGCACGGGUGAGUCAUAUAUCGGAACGUACCGAGUAAUGGGGGAUAACUAAUCGAAAGAUUAGCUAAUACCGCAUAUUUUCUGAGGCGGAAAGCAGGGGACCUUCGGGCCUUGCGUUAUUCGAGCGGCCGAUAUCUGAUUAGCUAGUUGGUGGGGUAAAGGCCUACCAAGGCGACGAUCAGUAGCGGGUGUGAGAGGAUGAUAGGCGACACUGGGAGUGAGACACGGCCCAGACUCCUACGGGAGGCAGCAGUGGGGAAUUUUGGACAAUGGGCGGAAGCCUGAUCCAGCCAGGCCGCGUGUCUGAAGAAGGCCUUCGGGUUGUAAAGGACUUUUGUCAGGGAAGAAAAGGCUGUUGCUAAUACCGACAGCUGAUGACGGUACCUGAAGAAUAAGCACCGGCUAACUACGUG